AGAGUUUGAUCCUGGCUCAGAGCGAACGCUGGCGGCAGGCUUAACACAUGCAAGUCGAGCGCCCCGCAAGGGGAGCGGCGGACGGGUGAGUAACACGUGGGAACGUGCCCUUCGGUUCGGGAUAACUCAGGGAAACUUGAGCUAACACCGGAUACGCCCUUCGGGGGAAAGGUUACGCCGAUGGAGCGGCCCGCGUCUGAUUAGCUAGUUGGUGGGGUAAUGGCCCACCAAGGCUACGAUCAGUAGCUGGUCUGAGAGGAUGAUCAGCCACACUGGGACUGAGACACGGCCCAGACUCCUACGGGAGGCAGCAGUGGGGAAUCUUGCGCAAUGGGGGAAACCCUGACGCAGCCAUGCCGCGUGAAUGAUGAAGGUCUUAGGAUUGUAAAAUUCUUUCAGCGGGGACGAUAAUGACGGUACCCGCAGAAGAAGCCCCGGCUAACUUCGUGCCAGCAGCCGCGGUAAUACGAAGGGGGCUAGCGUUGCUCGGAUUUACUGGGCGUAAAGGGCGCGUAGGCGGAUGACCAAGUUGGGGGUGAAAUCCCGGGGCUUAACCUCGGAACUGCCUCCAAAACUGGUCGUCUUGAGUUUGGGAGAGGUGUGUGGAACUCCGAGUGUAGAGGUGAAAUUCGUAGAUAUUCGGAAGAACACCAGUGGCGAAGGCGACACACUGGCCCAAUACUGACGCUGAGGCGCGAAAGCGUGGGGAGCAAACAGGAUUAGAUACCCUAGUAGUCC
rnacentral:rRNA from 1 species